UACGAAGGGGGCUAGCGUUGCUCGGAAUCACUGGGCGUAAAGCGCACGUAGGCGGAUUGCUAAGUCAGGGGUGAAAUCCUGGAGCUCAACUCCAGAACUGCCUUCGAUACUGGCGAUCUCGAGUCCGGAAGAGGUGAGUGGAACUCCUAGUGUAGAGGUGGAAUUCGUAGAUAUUAGGAAGAACACCAGUGGCGAAGGCGGCUCACUGGUCCGGUACUGACGCUGAGGUGCGGAAAGCGUGGGGGAGCAAACAGGG
rnacentral:rRNA from 1 species